rnacentral:lncRNA from 1 species
AUUUCAUAAAAUAAUUGUUAAAUUGUAAAUAUUUGAAGCAGGAAUACCGGUACACCUCAAUUUGUGAGGUGUACCGUAGAAGUUCCUUUUUUGAAAGGUAUUGUUCUUUUACAUGUAAAUUUUUAGGGCAUAAGUUCUUGCAAAUAAUAUAUCAUACCUAUUAAAUAGCAUAAAAAUUUGUUCGGAGAGCUCAACCUCUUAAAUGGGUCUUAGUUACCUUGAGUGAUUAGUCUAUGCACUUGUGUGUGGAAAAUACCUUAGUUUACCCCGCAGAACAUAAAAAGAACGUAACAAUAUGUGAAUGAUGUAUAUUUUUUUAAGGGUUAAAUAAGAUUUUAGUCCUUAUAAACAUAUCAAAUGUUUCUUUUAGUCCUCAUAAAUAAAAGUAGCAUGUUUAGGUUCCUAUAAAUGUUUUCAACAUGAAGUUUUAGUGUUCGUUAAUUUAAAUUUGUUUAAUUAUUCAGUAAUUUUUAAAUUUUGAAUGACUUUUUGUAGCCUUAUUUAAAACCUCAUAAAAAGCUCUCACAA